rnacentral:rRNA from 1 species
GACGAACGCUGGCGGCGUGCCUAAUACAUGCAAGUCGAGCGGAUCACUUCGGUGAUCAGCGGCGGACGGGUGAGUAACACGUGGGCAACCUGCCUGUAAGACUGGGAUAACUUCGGGAAACCGGAGCUAAUACCGGAUAAUCCUUUUCCUCUCAUGAGGGAAAGCUGAAAGACGGUUUCGGCUGUCACUUACAGAUGGGCCCGCGGCGCAUUAGCUAGUUGGUGAGGUAACGGCUCACCAAGGCGACGAUGCGUAGCCGACCUGAGAGGGUGAUCGGCCACAUUGGGACUGAGACACGGCCCAAACUCCUACGGGAGGCAGCAGUAGGGAAUCUUCCGCAAUGGACGAAAGUCUGACGGAGCAACGCCGCGUGAGUGAAGAAGGUUUUCGGAUCGUAAAACUCUGUUGUCAGAGAAGGACAAGUCGGAGAGUAACUGCUCCGGCCUUGACGGUAUCUGACCAGAAAGCCACGGCUAACUACGUGCCAGCAGCCGCAGUAACAC